rnacentral:miRNA from 1 species
UCGUGAGCUCAAGCAAUCCACCUGCCUCUGCCUCCCAGAGUGCUAGGCAUGGGCCACCAUGCCCAGCCAAUUGU